GAAAUGCGAUAAGUAAUGUGAAUUGCAGAAUUCAGUGAAUCAUCGAAUGUUUGAACGCACCUUGCGCUCCUUGGUCCUCUGAGGAGCAUAYCUGUUUGAGUGUCAUUAAAUUCUCAAAACUGCUAGAAGUGUUUUUGGUAGUUUUGGAUAUAUGGGAGGUGCAGGAUUAUGUUAURUAAGUCAGCUCUCCUGAAAAUGAUUAGCGCAGGGUUUACUGUUUAUUGGUGUGAUAAUAAAAAGUUGUCACUAGUAAAGUAGUAGGGCACUGGUCUGCUGUGCAAUGUAAUNGAUUUAUAUGUCGAUGAAAUGAUCAAGUUGACCUCAAAUCAGGUAGGACUACCCGCUGAACUUAA
rnacentral:rRNA from 1 species